rnacentral:rRNA from 1 species
GAUGAACGCUGGCGGCGUGCCUAAUACAUGCAAGUAGAACGCUGAAGGAGGAGCUUGCUCUUCUGGAUGAGUUGCGAACGGGUGAGUAACGCGUAGGUAACCUGCCUGGUAGCGGGGGAUAACUAUUGGAAACGAUAGCUAAUACCGCAUGACAACAGUUAUUGCAUGAUAACUGUUUAAAAGGGGCAACUGCUCCACUACCAGAUGGAUCUGCGUUGUAUUAGCUAGUUGGUGAGGUAACGGCUCACCAAGGCGACGAUACAUAGCCGACCUGAGAGGGUGAUCGGCCACACUGGGACUGAGACACGGCCCAGACGCCUACGGGAGGCAGCAGUAGGGAAUCUUCGGCAAUGGACGGAAGUCUGACCGAGCAACGCCGCGUGAGGGAAGAAGGUUUUCGGAUCGUAAAGCUCUGUUGUAAGAGAAGAACGAGUGUGAGAGUGGAAAGUUCACACUGUGACGGUAUCUUACCAGAAAGGGACGGCUAACUACGUG